GUUUUUUCUCUCUUUAUUUUGGUUUCCAUCUCCUCAACACCUGAACCAACAGUCACAUUGCAGGCCAAGCCAGAUGGGCAAGCAAUACAAGCUGUGAAUUUAUCCUUGACCCCAUAGGACAGUGACCACCGUCAUUUUUGUCUUCACCGUACAGUUAUGCACUGCCAGUAAGAUCCUGGAGCACAGGAAAAGAGUUUUAAUGCAAAAUACCAGAAAAAAAAGUCUGCAACAUCUCCUGUGAGAGGGUGAAAAAAAGGAGAUUAACAAUUGCAUCUUUAAACACUCAUAAUUUGAGGUACAGUUUA
rnacentral:lncRNA from 1 species